CGCACGGGUGAGUAACACGUAUCCAACCUGCCGUCUACUCUUGGACAGCCUUCUGAAAGGAAGAUUAAUACAAGAUGGCAUCAUGAGUCCGCAUGUUCACAUGAUUAAAGGUAUUCCGGUAGACGAUGGGGAUGCGUUCCAUUAGGCAGUUGGCGGGGUAACGGCCCACCAAACCAACGAUGGAUAGGGGUUCUGAGAGGAAGGUCCCCCACAUUGGAACUGAGACACGGUCCAA
rnacentral:rRNA from 1 species